UUGGCUGGGAUACAGAGGCCCUGGUCACAGCCAGGGCAUUCUAGAAUUCCCUUACGUCAUCGCUAUGAGGCCCAGAGUAUUUGCCAUGAGAAGAGAAAGGGACAUUGCACAUUUCAACCCAAUGAGACCUGGGAUGUGUGCAAGUAAGAUGCCAUUCAACAUGAGAGCGUGUGUACAAUGUCCUCUUUACAUUUUUUAUCGGCUUUGGUGCCCGGCACUCAAAAGGGCCUCAACGCAGUGGAAGAACAAUUGAGAAAGCAAACCGACUCUGAGCCCCUACCUCGCUCUGCUCCUUGUCGGCCUGUGCUUCUUUCAGUUGACCAAGAAGCUUCUCCUGUUCCCGAGUCAGGGCCUUCACGGUGUCUCUCACCCUGUACGUGGGGACAUGGAACAUCAGAUAACCUGGCUGGUCACCACAGAAGAUACGAAGGACUUGGGCUUUUGUCUUUAGCACUUUUUCUGGUGCCCCUCUGGGCCCACACCUCCUAUUGUCUCUGGGAUGCCCAAAUCCCCAGACCAAGGUGAUCUCUCUGGAAGCCCUGAGUAUCCAAGAUUCCUGGUUCUAGAGCACAAUCUAGAAAUAAACAGUUUGUUCUCUUUAUGUGUGUCAUUUUAAGGAAUGUUCUGCUGAUGCCUUCCUAGUUGUUUGCAUUCAAUCAAGAGACCAGAAUCCAGUCUUUUUUUAGACAAGGGACAGCCACGAUCAAUUAUAAACUUUGGAUCUAGAUCAGAAGUUGGAAGACUUUUUCUGUAAAGGGCCUGAUAAUAAAUACUUCAGGCUUUGCAGGCCAUGAGGAUUCUGUGGUAACUAUUCAUUUCUGCCACUGUAGUGUGAAAGCACCACAGACGUGUAAAUGAAUAAGCGCGGCUGUUCCAAUAAAACUUUAUUUAUGAACACUGA